AGCUUGGUGGUGUAACGGUAACAUACCCACUGUCUAUUUUGGUUCUUUGCGCGAAUAGACGUUUCGGCGGGAGAUCCUUGUUCGAUUCAAGGCUGGGCCG